rnacentral:rRNA from 1 species
GAAGGCCCAGACAGCCAGGAUGUUGGCUUAGAAGCAGCCAUCAUUUAAAGAAAGCGUAAUAGCUCACUGGUCGAGUCGGCCUGCGCGGAAGAUGUAACGGGGCUAAACCAUGCACCGAAGCUGCGGCAGCGACACUAUGUGUUGUUGGGUAGGGGAGCGUUCUGUAAGCCUGUGAAGGUGUACUGUGAGGUAUGCUGGAGGUAUCAGAAGUGCGAAUGCUGACAUAAGUAACGAUAAAGCGGGUGAAAAGCCCGCUCGCCGGAAGACCAAGGGUUCCUGUCCAACGUUAAUCGGGGCAGGGUGAGUCGACCCCUAAGGCGAGGCCGAAAGGCGUAGUCGAUGGGAAACAGGUUAAUAUUCCUGUACUUGGUGUUACUGCGAAGGGGGGACGGAGAAGGCUAUGUUGGCCGGGCGACGGUUGUCCCGGUUUAAGCGUGUAGGCUGAUUUUCCAGGUAAAUCCGGAAAAUCAAGGCUGAGGCGUGAUGACGAGGCACUACGGUGCUGAAGCAACAAAUGCCCUGCUUCCAGGAAAAGCCUCUAAGCAUCAGGUAACAUCAAAUCGUACCCCAAACCGACACAGGUGGUCAGGUAGAGAAUACCAAGGCGCUUGAGAGAACUCGGGUGAAGGAACUAGGCAAAAUGGUGCCGUAACUUCGGGAGAAGGCACGCUGAUACGUAGGUGAAGUCCCUUGCGGAUGGAGCUGAAAUCAGUCGAAGAUACCAGCUGGCUGCAACUGUUUAUUAAAAACACAGCACUGUGCAAACACGAAAGUGGACGUAUACGGUGUGACGCCUGCCCGGUGCCGGAAGGUUAAUUGAUGGGGUUAGCGGUAACGCGAAGCUCUUGAUCGAAGCCCCGGUAAACGGCGGCCGUAACUAUAACGGUCCUAAGGUAGCGAAAUUCCUUGUCGGGUAAGUUCCGACCUGCACGAAUGGCGUAAUGAUGGCCAGGCUGUCUCCACCCGAGACUCAGUGAAAUUGAACUCGCUGUGAAGAUGCAGUGUACCCGCGGCAAGACGGAAAGACCCCGUGAACCUUUACUAUAGCUUGACACUGAACAUUGAGCCUUGAUGUGUAGGAUAGGUGGGAGGCUUUGAAGUGUGGACGCCAGUCUGCAUGGAGCCGACCUUGAAAUACCACCCUUUAAUGUUUGAUGUUCUAACGUUGGCCCCUAAUCGGGGUUGCGGACAGUGUCUGGUGGGUAGUUUGACUGGGGCGGUCUCCUCCUAAAGAGUAACGGAGGAGCACGAAGGUUGGCUAAUCCUGGUCGGACAUCAGGAGGUUAGUGCAAUGGCAUAAGCCAGCUUGACUGCGAGCGUGACGGCGCGAGCAGGUGCGAAAGCAGGUCAUAGUGAUCCGGUGGUUCUGAAUGGAAGGGCCAUCGCUCAACGGAUAAAAGGUACUCCGGGGAUAACAGGCUGAUACCGCCCAAGAGUUCAUAUCGACGGCGGUGUUUGGCACCUCGAUGUCGGCUCAUCACAUCCUGGGGCUGAAGUAGGUCCCAAGGGUAUGGCUGUUCGCCAUUUAAAGUGGUACGCGAGCUGGGUUUAGAACGUCGUGAGACAGUUCGGUCCCUAUCUGCCGUGGGCGCUGGAGAACUGAGGGGGGCUGCUCCUAGUACGAGAGGACCGGAGUGGACGCAUCACUGGUGUUCGGGUUGUCAUGCCAAUGGCACUGCCCGGUAGCUAAAUGCGGAAGAGAUAAGUGCUGAAAGCAUCUAAGCACGAAACUUGCCCCGAGAUGAGUUCUCCCUGACUCCCUGAGAGUCCUGAAGGAACGUUGAAGACGACGACGUUGAUAGGCCGGGUGUGUAAGCGCAGCGAUGCGUUGAGCUAACCGGUACUAAUGAACCGUGAGGCUUAACCUU